UGUCUUGUGUACAUGUCAGGGGAAAUCCAACUUCGGUCCCUGCAAGGAGUUGUCUGUAUCACUCCUUGCCACUGGGAUAAAAUUAUUUGAAAACUCUAACAUCUGGAAGUGCUGAAGUGUUAGUGGGCCUAGGGCAAUUGUCUGUAUGGUCCUGAAGCUGAAAUCAACCCGGAGAUACAGGGCGUUUAAUCCUGCCAUCGUCAUGGCUAAUCCUCAAAGGUUGGAAAUUCAGAUGGAGCAAUAUUUACCGAAGCUUAAUCUGACUGAGGUUGGAAGUGGGACUGGUUUCAUCUGGAGAGUCUUUGCCAGGGUUAGGAGAGGGAAGACGCAGCAGCGAGGAUGGCUGAGGCACUGGAUUCACGGAACAGUACUGCUCCCGCCCCAAACACCGC